rnacentral:rRNA from 1 species
ACACGUAAGGGGCGAGCGUUGUUCGGAAUUAUUGGGCGUAAAGGGCGCGUAGGCGGCUUGGCAAGCUUGGUGUUAAAAACGACGGCUUAACCGUUGGUAAGCACUGGGAACUGCCUGGCUAGAGGUCUGGAGGGGGAGCUGGAAUUCCUGGUGUAGGGGUUAAAUCUGUAGAUAUCAGGAAGAACACCGGUGGCGAAGGCGAGCUCCUGGCCGGAAACUGACGCUGAGGCGCGAAAGCGUGGGGAGCGAACAGGAUUAGAUACCCCAGUAGUCC